CCCUAGUAGCGGCGAGUGAAGCGGGAAGAGCUCAAAUUUGUAAUCUGGCGUCUUUCAGGCGUCCGAGUUGUAAUCUAUAGAAGUGUUUUCCGUGCUGGACCAUGUCUAAGUCCCUUGGAACAGGGUAUCAAAGAGGGUGACAAUCCCGUACUUGACAUGACCACCAGUGCUCUGUGAUACACUCUCUACGAGUCGAGUUGUUUGGGAAUGCAGCUCAAAAUGGGUGGUAAAUUCCAUCUAAAGCUAAAUAUUGGCGAGAGACCGAUAGCGAACAAGUACCGUGAGGGAAAGAUGAAAAGCACUUUGGAAAGAGAGUUAAACAGUACGUGAAAUUGUUGAAAGGGAAACGAUUGAAGUCAGUCGUGUUCAUUGGACUCAGCCGGUUUUCGGUGUAUUUCCUUUGAACGGGUCAACAUCAGUUUUGUCCGGUGGAUAAAGGCAGGAAGAAAGUGGCUCCCUCGGGAGUGUUAUAGCUUUCUGUCACAUACACUGGAGGAGACUGAGGACUGCAGCUCGCCUUUUGGCCGGGGUUCGCCCACGUUCGAGCUUAGGA
rnacentral:rRNA from 1 species